ACCUGAGUGGCUCAGUUGGUAGAGCAUGCAACUCUUGAUUUCAGGGUUAUGAGUUCAAGCCCCAUAUUAAGCA
rnacentral:tRNA from 1 species